GAUGAACGCUGGCGGCGUGCCUAACACAUGCAAGUCGAGCGAUCUUCUUCGGAAGAGAGCGGCGGACGGGUGAGUAACGCGUGGGUAACCUGCCUCAUACACAUGGAUAACAUACCGAAAGGUAUGCUAAUACAAGAUUACAUAAGAGAUUCGCAUGGAUUUCUUAUCAAAGCUUUUGCGGUAUGAGAUGGACCCGCGUCUGAUGAGCUAGUUGGUAAGGUAAUGGCUUACCAAGGCGACGACCAGUAGCCGACCUGAGAGGGUGAUCGGCCACAUUGGAACUGAGACACGGUCCAAACUCCUACGGGAGGCAGCAGUGGGGAAUAUUGCACAAUGGGCGAAAGCCUGAUGCAGCAACGCCGCGUGAGCGAUGAAGGCCUUCGGGUCGUAAAGCUCUGUCCUCAAGGAAGAUAAUGACGGUACUUGAGGAGGAAGCCCCGGCUAACUACGUGCCAGCCGCCGCAGUAAAAC
rnacentral:rRNA from 1 species